rnacentral:rRNA from 1 species
AUUGAACGCUGGCGGCAGGCCUAACACAUGCAAGUCGAACGAGUGGCGGACGGGUGAGUAAUGACUGGGAAACUGCCCGAUGGAGGGGGGUAACUACUGGAAACGGUAGCUAAUACCGCAUACCAUCGGAUGUGCCCAGAUGGGAUUAGCUAGUAGGUGGGGUAACGGCUCACCUAGGCGACGAUCCCUAGCUGGAACGAGAGGAUGACCACCCACACUGGAACUGAGACACGGUCCAGACUCCUACGGAAGGCAGCAGUGGGGAAUAUUGAACAAUGGACGCAAGCCUGAUGCAGCCAUGCCGCGUGUAUGAAGAAGGCCUUCGGGUUUUAAAGUACUUUCAGCGAGGAGGCGUUACUCGCGGAAGAAGCACCGGCUAACUCCGUGCCAGCAGCCGCGGUAAUAC